UUUCCGAGCGUUGAUUUACCCUAGUUAUACCCUAAAACUACCUAGGAAUUAAAUUAGAUCGAAGAAAAAGCGCCGAAUCGUUAAAUUGGAGAGUGGCCGAGACCUAUUUGUGUUAGGACAGUGAGGAAACUCAAAUCUGAGCAAGGUUGGCCUUAUGCUUACUAUAGCCUUUCGAGUCUCCGAAAUUUUGGCUUUGGUUUCGUGUCAUUCCGAGUUCUGUAGUUCAAGUUAUGCGCGUUUUAGUGAGCAAAGGUAAAUAUUAGAAUUUUCUAGUUUAGUUUCACGUAUCAAAACUCACCCGUUCGGGGAAACUCUUCCAUUCGUGUUAGAGUGUCGUACUCGGAAGCUUUUUAAGCUUUGUCUAUCGUUAAUUAGUAUUGUUGUAAACGAAUUGACUUGUUUUGAUUGCUUUUCGCUUUGUUUGUUCCAAUGUUCGUUUGUGGAAACUUUGGGGUUGACAGAGCAAGCUUGUGAGCGUGACCUACACCGCGAGACUAGAACAACUCGAGGUGUUGGAUAUUCAUUACAUUAAUUCACAGCUGAAAUUGACUCCAAGUAACUUCCCAAAGGUGAAUGGAGGAAAGAAAUAGAAUUUCUUGUGGGCAAGUAAUGUGAGAAGGAAAGACAGGGAAAGUAAUAUAAAGAAAUUAACACCCAGUGAACAAACCUCUGUUGAAGAUGGAAACAAGGUGCAGAAUAUUGGUUUUUAGGGUCGUGGAAAUAAGCAUUGAUUAGCUGGGGUUUUCUGUAAUUUUGAUAUGCUCUCAUGCUGCUGUCAUCAAAAGAUGUUGCUAUGCUUGCUGCAAUCAUGUCAAUGGAGUUGUUUUUCGGACCUGAAGUACUGUGACAGAAAUAUGGUGUGCCCAUAAAGAAAUCAGACAUUAUCAAAUAGCAUAGAUAGCAGAUGCUAUGUAUUGAGAUUUAUGAGAGACUUAUCCUUUCUGAAUCCUCACAAUCUCCAUAUAAGGAUGUCAAAAGUUGGAUGUGAAAUGUUCAAAUAGAUAUGAAGAGUUUUUGCAGGAUGUGAGAUGUCCAAAUGAAAUCUGACGACUAACCAAGAGUGCAAUAUGUUGCAGCAUUGAUGUUAGUUGUAUUUUGUUUAAGCUAUGUUCUAUUAGCUUUGUAAUGCAACACAGUUAGUGGCUUUUAAUGGAACCAUGUAUGAAUUUAAUUAAGUAUUAUUUCC